rnacentral:rRNA from 1 species
GACGAACGCUGGCGGCGUGCCUAAUACAUGCAAGUAGGACGCAGUUGCGAACGGGUGAGUAACGCGUAGGUAACUGCCUAUUAGAGGGGGAUAACUAUUGGAAACGAUCGCUAAUACCGCAUACUAGUAGAUGGAUCUGCGUUGUAUUAGGUAGUAGGUUGGGUAAUGGCCUACCUAGGCAACCAUACAUAGCCGACUGGGGAGGAUGAUUGGCCACCCUGGGACCUGGAAAAGGGCCAGAAUCCUACGGGAAGGAGAAGUAGGGAAUCUUCGGCAAUGGGGGGAACCCUGGACGAGCAACGCCGCGGGAGUGAAAAAGGUUCUCUGAGCUUAAAGCUCUGUUGGUAAGGAAGCGGUACUUAACCAGAAAGGGACGGCUAACUACGUGCCAGCAGCCGCGGUAAUAC